GACGAACGCUGGCGGCGUGCUUAACACAUGCAAGUCGAACGGAAAGGCCCUGUUUUGGUUACUCGCGCGACUAACGGGCGGGUAACAAGCGAGUAACUUACCUUCCCCUUCCGGAGAACUAACUUCAACAGAGUCGAAUAACGACCGGAAAUCCUCUCCUCAUGCAUGGGGUUGGAUAGCUUCGGCGGUUUUGGAUGGACUGGCGGCUUAUCAGCUUGUUGGUGGGUGGUGGCUUACCAAGGCAUUGCCGGGAAGCCGGCCUGGCGGGGCGACCGGCCACAUUGGGACUGAGAUACGGCCCAGACUCCUACGGGGGGCAGCAGGUGGGAAUAUUGCACAAUGGGCGGAAGCCUGAUGCAGCAAAGCCGCGUGCGGGAUGACGGGCUUCGGGUUGUAAACCGCUUUCAGCAGGGGAGAAGCUUGUGGUGACGGUACCUGCAGAAGAAGCACCGGCUAACUACGUG
rnacentral:rRNA from 1 species